rnacentral:rRNA from 1 species
GACGAACGCUGGCGGCGUGCUUAACACAUGCAAGUCGUACGGUAAGGCCCUUUCGGGGGUACACGAGUGGCGAACGGGUGAGUAACACGUGAGUAACCUGCCCACAACUUUGGGAUAACGCUAGGAAACUGGUGCUAAUACUGGAUAUGUGCCCCUGCUGCAUGGUGGGGGUUGGAAAGCUCCGGCGGUUGUGGAUGGACUCGCGGCCUAUCAGCUUGUUGGUGGGGUAGUGGCCUACCAAGGCGGCGACGGGUAGCCGGCCUGAGAGGGUGACCGGCCACAUUGGGACUGAGAUACGGCCCAGACUCCUACGGGAGGCAGCAGUGGGGAAUAUUGCACAAUGGGCGCAAGCCUGAUGCAGCAACGCCGCGUGCGGGAUGACGGCCUUCGGGUUAUAAACCGCUUUCAGCAGGGACGAAGCUUUUUGUGACGGUACCUGCAGAAGAAGCACCGGCUAACUACGUG